UACGUAGGUGGCAAGCGUUGUCCGGAAUUAUUGGGCGUAAAGCGCGCGCAGGCGGUCCUUUAAGUCUGAUGUGAAAGCCCACGGCUCAACCGUGGAGGGUCAUUGGAAACUGGGGGACUUGAGUGCAGAAGAGGGGAGUGGAAUUCCACGUGUAGCGGUGAAAUGCGUAGAGAUGUGGAGGAACACCAGUGGCGAAGGCGACUCUCUGGUCUGUAACUGACGCCGAGGCGCGAAAGCGUGGGGAGCAAACAGG
rnacentral:rRNA from 1 species